GGCCGUGUAGCUCAAUGGCACAGAGCGGUCCUCCGAUUAACGACAUGUUGAAGGUUCAAGUCCUUCCACGGCUA
rnacentral:tRNA from 1 species